rnacentral:tRNA from 1 species
GCCCGGCUAGCUCAGUCGGUAGAGCAUGAGACUCUUAACCUCAGGGUCGUGGGUUCAAGCCCCACGUUGGGCA